rnacentral:rRNA from 1 species
CCUACGGGUGGCAGCAGUGAGGAAUAUUGGUCAAUGGACGAGAGUCUGAACCAGCCAAGUAGCGUGAAGGAUGACUGCACUAUGGGUUGUAAACUUCUUUUAUAUGGGAAUAAAACAGGGUAUGCAUACCCUCUUGUAUGUACCCUAUGAAUAAGGAUCGGCUAACUCCGUGCCAGCAGCCGCGGUAAUACGGAGGAUCCGAGCGUUAUCCGGAUUUAUUGGGUUUAAAGGGUGCGUAGGUGGUUUGUUAAGUCAGUUGUGAAAGUUUGCGGCUCAACCGUAAAAUUGCAGUUGAAACUGGCAGUCUUGAGUACAGUAGAGGUGGGCGGAAUUCGUGGUGGAGCGGUGAAAUGCUUAGAUAUCACGAAGAACUCCGAUUGCGAAGGCAGCAUACCGGCGCUCAACUGACGCUCAUGCACGAAAGUGUGGGUAUCGAACAGGAUUAGAUACCCGAGUAGUC